GAUGAACGCUGGCGGCGUGCCUAAUACAUGCAAGUCGAGCGAACGGACGAGAAGCUUGCUUCUCUGAUGUUAGCGGCGGACGGGUGAGUAACACGUGGAUAACCUACCUAUAAGACUGGGAUAACUUCGGGAAACCGGAGCUAAUACCGGAUAAUAUUUUGAACCGCAUGGUUCAAAAGUGAAAGACGGUCUUGCUGUCACUUAUAGAUGGAUCCGCGCUGCAUUAGCUAGUUGGUAAGGUAACGGCUUACCAAGGCAACGAUGCAUAGCCGACCUGAGAGGGUGAUCGGCCACACUGGAACUGAGACACGGUCCAGAUUCCUACGGGAGGCAGCAGUAGGGAAUCUUCCGCAAUGGGCGAAAGCCUGACGGAGCAACGCCGCGUGAGUGAUGAAGGUCUUCGGAUCGUAAAACUCUGUUAUUAGGGAAGAACAUAUGUGUAAGUAACUGUGCACAUCUUGACGGUACCUAAUCAGAAAGCCACGGCUAACUACGUGCCAGCAGCCGCGGUAAUACGUAGGUGGCAAGCGUUAUCCGGAAUUAUUGGGCGUAAAGCGCGCGUAGGCGGUUUUUUAAGUCUGAUGUGAAAGCCCACGGCUCAACCGUGGAGGGUCAUUGGAAACUGGAAAACUUGAGUGCAGAAGAGGAAAGUGGAAUUCCAUGUGUAGCGGUGAAAUGCGCAGAGAUAUGGAGGAACACCAGUGGCGAAGGCGACUUUCUGGUCUGUAACUGACGCUGAUGUGCGAAAGCGUGGGGAUCAAACAGGAUUAGAUACCCUGGUAGUCCACGCCGCAAACGAUGAGUGCUAAGUGUUAGGGGGUUUCCGCCCCUUAGUGCUGCAGCUAACGCAUUAAGCACUCCGCCUGGGGAGUACGACCGCAAGGUUGAAACUCAAAGGAAUUGACGGGGACCCGCACAAGCGGUGGAGCAUGUGGUUUAAUUCGAAGCAACGCGAAGAACCUUACCAAAUCUUGACAUCCUUUGACAACUCUAGAGAUAGAGCCUUCCCCUUCGGGGGACAAAGUGACAGGUGGUGCAUGGUUGUCGUCAGCUCGUGUCGUGAGAUGUUGGGUUAAGUCCCGCAACGAGCGCAACCCUUAAGCUUAGUUGCCAUCAUUAAGUUGGGCACUCUAAGUUGACUGCCGGUGACAAACCGGAGGAAGGUGGGGAUGACGUCAAAUCAUCAUGCCCCUUAUGAUUUGGGCUACACACGUGCUACAAUGGACAAUACAAAGGGCAGCGAAACCGCGAGGUCAAGCAAAUCCCAUAAAGUUGUUCUCAGUUCGGAUUGUAGUCUGCAACUCGACUACAUGAAGCUGGAAUCGCUAGUAAUCGUAGAUCAGCAUGCUACGGUGAAUACGUUCCCGGGUCU
rnacentral:rRNA from 1 species